GCACCGAGGAUCAGGAAAAAGAUGAGUCUGUGACAGUAGGAGUGAAGUUUAUGGAAAAAGUGGACUCUUGCCUUUUGGCUGAUCCAUUUGUGGCUUCACAGUGGGUGAAAAAAGAUUUGGUUUAAUUGUAAGAGACAAAGGAAUGUGUAACAUUAGGGAAAGUAGUAGAAUGUGUUAAUUGUAGGGGUGUCCAUGGAGCUGGGGAUCAGAAAUGUCCUGUGCGAGAGAGGCAGGUUGAGGUUUCCAGGGUUAUAGUAGCGCAGAAGUUGUCAUAUGCUGAGGCAGUGAAGAAAGUAGAGGAAGAUGGGUUAAGGGGAGGAGUGGUGAGAGUAGUGGAGAUAUACCAGUACAGAGGGACAGGGCAAAAUGUGAAAUAUGUUUCAGUAAGAUUGGAUUUUUAGCAUUUAUAGCAAUGGUUAUGAACUGUACAGCAGGGAUGGAUCUGAAAGGAAGGAAAAGUGUGUUUGAAACUAAAAUCGCUAGUAACAACCAGCAUCAAACGUAACAUUGCUUGUCAAAUGGAUAUCAUUUCUCGUUAUGGUUUGUAGUUAUGCUGGCUGUGCUUCUGCUGUCUUUCUACAACAUCCGAAGUUUCCCUGGCACACAAACGUACUUGUUUCAUUUCGAAUGCUAAGCUGGACAGGAAAAUGGUCCAAUUCACACACUGAUCAAGACAACAUCCCUGGUCGUCCCUACUGCCUCUGAUCUGGAGGACUCACUAAACAGAGAACAUCCCUGGUCAUCCCUACUGCCUCUGAUCUGGAGGACUCACUAAACAGAGAACAUCCCUGGUCAUCCCUACUGCCUCUGAUCUGGAGGACUCACUAAACAGAGAACAUCCCUGGUCAUCCCUACUGCCUCUGAUCUGGAGGACUCACUAAACAGAGAACAUCCCUGGUCAUCCCUACUGCCUCUGAUCUGGAGGACUCACUAAACAGAGAACAUCCCUGGUCAUCCCUACUGCCUCUGAUCUGGAGGACUCACUAAACAGAGAACAUCCCUGGUCCUCCCUACUGCCUCUGAUCUGGAGGACUCACUAAACAGAGAACAUCCCUGGUCAUCCCUACUGCCUCUGAUCUGGAGGACUCACUAAACAGAGAACAUCCCUGGUCAUCCCUACUGCCUCUGAUCUGGAGGACUCACUAAACAGAGAACAUCCCUGGUCAUCCCUACUGCCUCUGAUCUGGAGGACUCACUAAACAGAGAACAUCCCUGGUCCUCCCUACUGCCUCUGAUCUGGAGGACUCACUAAACAGAGAACAUCCCUGGUCAUCCCUACUGCCUCUGAUCUGGAGGACUCACUAAACAGAGAACAUCCCUGGUCAUCCCUACUGCCUCUGAUCUGGAGGACUCACUAAACACAUGCUUCAUUUGUAAAUGAUGUCUGAUUGUUGGAGUGUUCCCCUGGUUAUUUCUUAAAUAAAAUAACAAGAGAAUCGUGCUGUCUGGUUUGCUUAAUAUAUGGAAGGUCAAAUCAUUUAUACUUUUACCACUGAUACUUAAGUAUAUUUUAGCAAUGACGUUUACUUAGUAUUUUACUGGGUGACUUUCACUUUUACUUGAGUCAUUUUCUAUUAACAUAUUAUUAUUGUACCUUUUUCCCUUCAUUUGCCUACUACUGUGUAUAAGCUGUCAUAACAUGUGGGUCUUUUCAUGGGGACCAGGUAUCGGAACGCCUUUGAAGGGUCUACAAAGCCCCCAGGUAAAAGUUGGCUUUUGCAGACAAGGAUUGUAUUGUUACUCCACGACAUAAUAUGUUAUCACAACUCUAUUAAAAGGACAUUCUACACAA
rnacentral:lncRNA from 1 species